GGAGGGUUGCGCCGAAUUGGUAAGGCACCGGUCUUGAAAACCGGCGGGCGUCAUGCCCUUGUGGGUUCGAGUCCCACACCCUCCG
rnacentral:tRNA from 1 species